UAAGGAAUCUUCCACAAUGGGCGAAAGCCUGAUGGAGCAAUGCCGCGUGCAGGAUGAAUGCCUUCGGGUUGUAAACUGCUUUUAUAUGCGAAGAAUAUGACGGUAACAUAUGAAUAAGGAUCGGCUAACUCCGUGCCAGCAGCCGCGGUCAGACGGAGGAUCCGAGCGUUAUCCGGAGUGACUGGGCGUAAAGAGUUGCGUAGGCGGUUUGUUAAGUAGAUAGUGAAAUCAAGUGGCUCAACCAUUUGGCUAUUAUCUAAACUGGCAAACUUGACAAUGAGAGAGGUAGCUGGAAUUCCUAGUGUAGGAGUGAAAUCCGUAGAUAUUAGGAGGAACACCAAUGGCGUAGGCAGGCUACUGGCUCAUUUGUGACGCUGAGGCACGAAAGCGUGGGGAGCGA
rnacentral:rRNA from 1 species